ensembl:lncRNA
AAAGUCAGUAUUUUAUAUAGCAAAAAUAAUGAACCUCAAACUGAAUCCUCUAAAGGCCCCAUACAAUGAAGUAGACAUUGGUGGAAGCAUUUACACCCAGUCAGCUUGAAGAGUUUCAAAUGGACCCUACCACUGAGAAAUCAAGAUGGCAGUCUACUAUGGGGAAUUGAGAAAAAUGGAUUAAUACAAGAGUCCUGUGAUAAUACACAACCAAGACAGGGUUCUUUUAACAUGGAUUCCAUGCAGUGAAUGAAGACAUAGGUUUCUUAUCCAACACAAAUGGACAGUGGAUUUGACUUUCUAAAGACUUUUUUUUGUGGACAUUUUGACAUUUGGAGAAGGAGGAUGGCACACUAACACAGAUAAUAGUUUUUAUACCUGGAAUUUUUUGUAGUUUGAUUUGUAUGAGUAUGACCUCUUGGAAUGUUAACUUUAAUAAAAUUUAUAAUACUUUAAAAUUUCUCA